GCGGCUUCCCAAUUAGACUAGGGCACGCCGAGUGUAUUCUUAAUUCAGUGCUGAAUCGCUGGAUCGAUGUUUCAAAAUCGUUAUGUUAUUCUUUUCGACGCCCAAAAACAGUAAACAAUGAAGAAGAUGCUCCAGAAAAACAAAACUUUGUUCUAUUGCUGCCUCAGUGGGUCGGCAAGGAAUAAAAUUAAUUAUACCAAAAUUGGCACCAAGUGGACAAAGAGAAAUGCCAACAUUUCUCGAGAUGUGUUUGUGUUUAUGCAGCUGAUGAGGUAAAAGAACCUAGAGGCUGGCACCACCUCUAGGCAUUUCCGACCUUGUUCCAAAGCACAAUCCAUCUUCCCUCAGCGAGCUCUAUGUAGGUGGCUAGAAUUUUGUGCUAAGCUCCUAGCCGACCCUGCCAUAAAGCAAACUCAAUACAAUCUUAUUCACGUAAAGAUUGUUUUGUUUAAUAAUAUCCGGGAGACGGAUGGCUCAUAAAUGGUGAAGUAAACAAAGAAGAUGAUUUGCAGUAAACAAUGAAGAUGAUGCUCCAAAAUGAUGAAAAACAAUUUUCUAAGGCCCGCUAAAAUGAUGAAAAACAAUUUUCUAAGGCCCGCUAUUCCUAUGUAAGAUCAGGGCUCAAAAGACUUAAAAUAGAUGAUGUUCAAGUAACCGUUAAGUUACUUGAAGUAUUUCUAGUAUUUGUCUGUUUAUUUAUU